rnacentral:rRNA from 1 species
GCCUAAUACAUGCAAGUCGAACGCGUUGGCCCAACUGAUUGAACGUGCUUGCACGGACUUGACGUUGGUUUACCAACGAGUGGCGGACGGGUGAGUAACACGUAGGUAACCUGCCCCAAAGCGGGGGAUAACAUUUGGAAACAGAUGCUAAUACCGCAUAACAAUUUGAAUCGCAUGAUUCAAAUUUAAAAGAUGGCUUCGGCUAUCACUUUGGGAUGGACCUGCGGCGCAUUAGCUUGUUGGUAGGGUAACGGCCUACCAAGGCUGUGAUGCGUAGCCGAGUUGAGAGACUGAUCGGCCACAAUGGAACUGAGACACGGUCCAUACUCCUACGGGAGGCAGCAGUAGGGAAUCUUCCACAAUGGGCGCAAGCCUGAUGGAGCAACACCGCGUGAGCGAAGAAGGGUUUCGGCUCGUAAAGCUCUGUUGUUAGAGAAGAACAUGCGUGAGAGCAACUGCUCACGCAGUGACGGUAUCUAACCAGAAAGUCACGGCUAACUACGUGCCAGCAGCCGCGGUAAUACGUAGGUGGCAAGCGUUAUCCGGAUUUAUUGGGCGUAAAGCGAGCGCAGGCGGUUUGAUAAGUCUGAUGUGAAAGCCUUUGGCUUAACCAAAGAAGUGCAUCGGAAACUGUCAGACUUGAGUGCAGAAGAGGACAGUGGAACUCCAUGUGUAGCGGUGGAAUGCGUAGAUAUAUGGAAGAACACCAGUGGCGAAGGCGGCUGUCUGGUCUGCAACUGACGCUGAGGCUCGAA